rnacentral:sRNA from 1 species
GAUUUUUUUUUCAUUGCGUGGUUUGUCAAAGAAAACCAGGAGAAUUAUUGUACAUCAGGAUUGAGGAAUGAAAUUUUUGAGAAUAAAAGACGAAUGAAGAAAAUAAAAACAAUGAAAGUAAGGGGGAAAACUAGUGUUUUAUGUUUUGACACAAAAUUAAUGUUUGCAGCUUGGUAAACAUAACAUGUAUGUAACAAAUCUAUUGUGUAUGAAUUUAAACCUGUAAAUUUGAUUUUUGUAAGAUGUUUAUAAUUUCUAUGAAAUUGAGACUUGUCAAUGUUAGCUGUUUACAUGUUCAGCUAAUUUUUUUUUCUUUUUUCUUUUACAUGUUAUAACUAUGGUCAGUAUGUUGAGCAAUAAAAAAUAGUUCUUU